CCUACGGGAGGCAGCAGUGAGGAAUAUUGGUCAAUGGGAGAGAUCCUGAACCAGCCAAGCCGCGUGAGGGAAGACGGCCCUAUGGGUUGUAAACCUCUUUUGUCGGAGAACAAAACCCGGGGCGUGUCCCGGACUCCGUGUAUCCGAAGAAAAAGCAUAGGCUAACCCCGUGCCAGCAGCCGCGGUAAUAGGGGGGAGGCGAGCGUUAUCCGGAUUUAUUGGGUUUAACGGGUGGGUAGGCGGUCCGUUAAGUCAACGGUAAAAUUGAGGGACUCAACCCCGUCGAGCCGUUGAAACUGGCAGACUUGAGUUGGCGAGAGGUACGCGGAAUGCGCGGUGUAGCGGUGAAAUGCAUAGAGAUCGCGAAGAACUCCGAUUGCGAAGGCAGCGUACCGGCGCCAGACUGACGCUGAGGCACGAAAGCGUGGGGAUCGAACAGGAUUAGAUACCCGGGUAGUC
rnacentral:rRNA from 1 species